rnacentral:rRNA from 1 species
UACAGAGGGGGCAAGCGUUGUUCGGAAUUACUGGGCGUAAAGGGCGCGUAGGCGGCCUGCUAAGUCGAACGUGAAAUCCCUGGGCUCAACCCAGGAACUGCGUCCGAUACUGGUUGGCUUGAAUCCGGGAGAGGGAUGUGGAAUUCCAGGUGUAGCGGUGAAAUGCGUAGAUAUCGGAAGGAACACCGGUGGCGAAAGCGGCGCGCUGGAUCCCUUCUGACGCUGAGGCGCGAAAGCCAGGGGAGCGAACGGG